rnacentral:rRNA from 2 species
CACGGGGGGAGCAAGCGUUGUUCGGAAUCACUGGGCGUAAAGGGUGUCUAGGCGGUCAGGUAAGUGAGAUGUGAAAUGCCCCGGCUUACCCGGGGACCUGCAUCUCAUACUGUCUGGCUUGAGUAUGGGAGAGGAUGAGGGAAUUCCUGGUGUAGCGGUGAAAUGCGUAGAUAUCAGGAGGAACACCGGUGGCGAAAGCGCUCAUCUGGCCCAAUACUGACGCUGAAGCACGAAAGCUAGGGGAGCAAACGGG